UACAGAGGUCUCAAGCGUUGUUCGGAUUCAUUGGGCGUAAAGGGCGCGUAGGCGGCUUGACAAGUCCCGGGUGAAAUCCCUCGGCUCAACCGAGGAACUGCCUUGGAAACUGUCUGGCUUGAGGCCGGGAGAGGGUAGUGGAAUUCCCAGUGUAGCGGUGAAAUGCGUAGAUACUGGGAGGAACACCGGUGGCGAAGGCGGCAUCCUGGACCAACACUGACGCUGAGUGAGCGAAAGCCAGGGGAGCAAACGGG
rnacentral:rRNA from 1 species